rnacentral:rRNA from 1 species
GACAGAGGGUGCAAACGUUGUUCGGAAUUACUGGGCGUAAAGCGAGUGUAGGCGGUUUGGUAAGUCGGAUGUGAAAGCCCCGGGCUCAACCCGGGAAGUGCACUCGAUACUGCCAAGCUAGAGUAUCGGAGAGGUUGGUGGAAUUCUCGGUGUAGAGGUGAAAAUUCGUAGAUAUCGAGAGGAACACCGGUGGCGAAGGCGGCCAACUGGACGAAAUACUGACGCUGAGACUCGAAAAAGCGUGGGGGAGCAAAACAGG